rnacentral:misc_RNA from 1 species
UUUCCGUAGGUGAACCUGCGGAAGGAUCAUUGAUGAGUUGUCAUGGGGUUCGAUGCUGGCAGCCAAUUUUUGGAUGCAUGUGCUUGCCCUAACAAUCAUCUUCCAAACACCUGUGCACAUUUUUGAGGGAGUCUUGAGUUGGUUGCCGCUCUUGGGUGAUUUUCUCACAUUCCCUUAAAUCAUUAUACGCUAUUAACAAUGUUGAACGUGCUCUGUGCCGCAAGGCUAUUAAUAUAAUACAACUUUUAACAACGGAUCUCUUGGCUCUC